rnacentral:lncRNA from 1 species
CUCGAUGGAAAAUCCUUAUUUAUUUUUGUGAGUAUUGGUUACUGGAUUGAUCUUAUUUGAUGAUGGUCUAAUUUUAGCUAAAUAAAAAGCUAAAGUGAUGUUUUCUUUGCAAGUUUGAGAAACUCGGAAAUGUGUUAGUGAGUGAUGAGCUAAAUGGGUAUAGUGAGGAUCGACUCUUAAUUCUGAACUUUAGGUUGGACCUGAUUCAUGUUAUUAUUAUUCCAAGAUGGAAUUUGUGUAUUAAAGCAUCCGGGGC